CGCGGAAGUCGGUGGGCGGGGCUGUCGCCAACCUGGUCAGAUCCGGAAGGAAGCAGCCACAGUGAUUUGGUCCCGGGUCAUCGGCUUCCACCUUU
rnacentral:SRP_RNA from 1 species